AACAAUAAGAAAUCUUAAAGGAGUUGAAAAAAAAUCUACUAUAAACUUUAAAAGAUUCUUUAAGAAGUCCUAAAAAAUAUUAAAAUAAUCACAAAUAUAUCUUAAAUAAAUCUUAAUGAAGUUUUAAUUUAAACUUGAUUGAAAUCCUAAUGGACUUCAAUCAAAUCCUAGACAAAUCAUAAAUCUUAAAUCAAAUCCUAAAUCAAAUUCUAGACAAAUGCUAAAUCCUAAAUCAAACUAUCGAUCCUAAAUCAAACCUUAAAUCAAACCCUAAAUCAAAUCCUAGACAAAUCCUAAAUUCUAAAUCAAAU
rnacentral:lncRNA from 1 species